rnacentral:tRNA from 1 species
UGGCGAGUGGCCAAGCGGUAAGGCGCCUGACUCUGGAUCAGGGGAUUGGAGGUUCGAAUCCUCCCUCGCCAGCCA